GAUUAACGCUGGCGGCGUGCAUAACACAUGCAAGUCGAACGAUGAAACUCAUUCGAUUUCUUCGGAAUGAAAAUGAAUGGAUUAGUGGCGAACGGGUGAGUAACGCGUGAGUAACCUGCCUUACACAAGGGGAUAGCCUCUGGAAACGGAGAAUAAUACCCUAUGAAACCAGACAAUCGCAUGAUAAUCUGGUCAAAAUGUUUAGUGGUGUAAGAUGGACUUGCGUCUGAUUAGCUAGUUGGUGAGAUAAAAGCUCACCAAGGCAACGAUCAGUAGCCGGCUUGAGAGAGUGUACGGCCACAUUGGGACUGAGACACGGCCCAGACUCCUACGGGAGGCAGCAGUGGGGAAUUUUGCACAAUGGGGGAAACCCUGAUGCAGCGACGCCGCGUGAUUGAGAAGGCCUUCGGGUUGUAAAAAUCUUUUGUAUAGGAAGAAAAUGACAGUACUAUACGAAUAAGGUCCGGCUAAUUACGUG
rnacentral:rRNA from 1 species